UACGAAGGGGGGUGAGCGUUGUCCGGAUUUAUUGGGCGUAAAGAGCGUGUAGGCGGUCAGGUAGGUCCGUUGUGAAAACUCGAGGCUCAACCUCGAGACGCCGAUGGAAACCAUCUGACUAGAGUCCGGAAGAGGAGAGUGGAAUUCCUGGUGUAGCGGUGAAAUGCGCAGAUAUCAGGAGGAACACCAAUUGCGAAGGCAGCUCGCUGGGACGGUACUGACGCUGAGGCGCGAAAGCGUGGGGAGCGAACAGG
rnacentral:rRNA from 1 species